rnacentral:rRNA from 1 species
AUGAAUAAAAUCCUAGCAGAAGCACCUGAUGUGCAUGAAUAUCUUUCAAGGUACCACAACUUAAAAUGGAUGAGAUGCAUGUUUGACCCCUCCAUUAAAUGUGAUUACAUCAACUAUAACCUUGCCGAGUCUUUUAAUGGUUGGAUUAAAGAUUACAAAGAUUUGCCACCUGAUGAGCUAGCUGACACUCUUAGAGAGCUAGUCAUGAAACUUCAUGAGAAAAGGAGAAAGAUUGGAAUGAAACUGAAAGGAAAAAUUAUUCCAGCCAUCAUCCAACAAAUUCAUAAUAGGACAAGGGGACUUAAACAUUUGAAAGUUGGGAAAUCUGGAGUUGCAAGUUGUGAGGUGAGGGACACAAGUAAAUACAACUUGCGACAUGUCGUGAAAACUUGCGACAUGUGA